CCUACGGGAGGCAGCAGUGGGGAAUAUUGGGCAAUGGGCGCAAGCCUGACCCAGCAACGCCGCGUGAAGGAAGAAGGCUUUCGGGUUGUAAACUUCUUUUCUCAGGGACGAAGCAAGUGACGGUACCUGAGGAAUAAGCCACUGCUAACUACGUGCCAGCAGCCGCGAUAAUACGUAGGUGGCAAGCGUUAUCCGGAUUUACUGGGUGUAAAGGGCGAGUAGGCGGGAAAGCAAGUCAGAUGUGAAAACCAUGGGCUCAACCUGUGGCCUGCAUUUGAAACUGGUUUUCUUGAGUACUGGAGAGGGAGACGGAAUUCCUAGUGUAGCGGUGAAAUGCGUAGAUAUUAGGAGGAACACCAGUGGCGAAGGCGGUCUGCUGGACAGCAACUGACGCUGAGGCGCGAAAGCGUGGGGAGCAAACAGGAUUAGAUACCCCAAUAGUC
rnacentral:rRNA from 1 species